GUAUUUUAACAUAUUCUCUAAAUAUACAAGCCAUAAACAUAAGAGACUUUUAGACAGGAGAUGGACUGAUCAUUCGGAAAUACCUUAUUUCAUUUAUGAGGAUUUUAGGCUAUUGAUGAAUAAUGAUUCAGUCGAAGCUAUUGAUCUUUUGUUCAAAAUGCAUUAUCAAUUACAUUAUAUUAGAUAUUCCGUAUUGAUUUAUUUUGCUGAGCGAUUUUUAUAAAGAUUCACUGCCGAUGAUUACACUUUAUAUCUUGUUUCAAUAAAUUGUCACCCUUUGACCCAAGUUAUUG